rnacentral:rRNA from 1 species
UACGAAGGGGGCUAGCGUUGUUCGGAAUCACUGGGCGUAAAGGGCGCGUAGGCGGCUUUAUAAGUCGGGGGUGAAAGCCUGUGGCUCAACCACAGAAUUGCCUUCGAUACUGUAUGGCUUGAGACCGGAAGAGGUAAGUGGAACUGCGAGUGUAGAGGUGAAAUUCGUAGAUAUUCGCAAGAACACCAGUGGCGAAGGCGUCUUACUGGUCCGGUUCUGACGCUGAGGCGCGAAAGCUAGGGGAGCAAACGGG